CGGCAGGCUUAAUACAUGCAAGUCGAGGGGCAGCACGGGGGCAACCCUGGUGGCGACCGGCAAACGGGUGCGGAACACGUACGCAACCUUCCCAAAACUGGUGAAUAGCCUUCCGAAAGGGAGAUUAAUACACCGUAACUUAAUGAAGUGGCAUCACUUUAUUAAUAUAGCUCCGGCGGUUUUGGAUGGGCGUGCGCCUGAUUAGGUAGUUGGUGAGGUAACGGCUCACCAAGCCUGCGAUCAGUAACUGGUGUGAGAGCACGACCAGUCACACGGGCACUGAGACACGGGCCCGACUCCUACGGGAGGCAGCAGUAAGGAAUAUUGGUCAAUGGACGCAAGUCUGAACCAGCCAUGCCGCGUGAAGGAUUAAGGCCCUCUGGGUUGUAAACUUCUUUUAUAGGGGACGAAAAAAGGGCAUUCUUGCUCACUUGACGGUACCCUAGGAAUAAGCACCGGCUAACUCCGUGCCAGCAGCCGCGGUAAUACGGAGGGUGCAAGCGUUAUCCGGAUUUACUGGGUUUAAAGGGUGCGUAGGUGGGUUGGUAAGUCAGUGGUGAAAUCUUCGAGCUUAACUCGGAAACUGCCAUUGAUACUAUCAAUCUUGAAUCAUCUAGAGGUAAGCGGAAUAUGUCAUGUAGCGGUGAAAUGCUUAGAUAUGACAUAGAACACCAAUUGCGAAGGCAGCUUACUAUGGAUGCAUUGACACUGAGGCACGAAAGCGUGGGGAUCAAACAGGAUUAGAUACCCUGGUAGUCCACGCCCUAAACGAUGGAUACUCGACAUUUGUGAUAUACUAUAAGUGUCUAAGCGAAAGCAUUAAGUAUCCCACCUGGGAAGUACGACCGCAAGGUUGAAACUCAAAGGAAUUGACGGGGGUCCGCA
rnacentral:rRNA from 1 species